UACGUAGGGACCGAGCGUUGUCCGGAUUCAUUGGGCGUAAAGAGCUCGUAGGCGGCUGCUCAAGUCGAAUGUGAAAACUCGAGGCUCAACCUCGAGCCUGCAUUCGAUACUGGGCGGCUAGAGUCUGGUAGGGGGAUCUGGAAUUCCUGGUGUAGCGGUGGAAUGCGCAGAUAUCAGGAGGAACACCGGUGGCGAAGGCGGGAUCCUGGGCUAGUACUGACGCUGAGAAGCGAAAGCCAGGGGAGCAAACGGG
rnacentral:rRNA from 1 species